rnacentral:rRNA from 1 species
UACGAAGGGGGCUAGCGUUGCUCGGAAUCACUGGGCGUAAAGGGUGCGUAGGCGGGUCUUUAAGUCAGGGGUGAAAUCCUGGAGCUCAACUCCAGAACUGCCUUUGAUACUGAGGAUCUUGAGUUCGGGAGAGGUGAGUGGAACUGCGAGUGUAGAGGUGAAAUUCGUAGAUAUUCGCAAGAACACCAGUGGCGAAGGCGGCUCACUGGCCCGAUACUGACGCUGGGGUGCGAAAGCAUGGGGAGCGAACAGG